AAAUACGAACCGCCUCCCCCCCCCCCUCCUGCCUGACCCUCGGCUGAAAGCAGCGUUUCAGUUCCAAAAAAAGAUGUGCGAGGAGCCCCCCUGCACCGCGCCCAAUACAUGCACUCUCCGUACGACCGCCCCUGGAACCCCCGAUUCUGCAUCAUCUCCGGAAACCAGCUGCUGAUGCUGGACGAGGAAGAGAUCCACCCCCUGCUCCUCCGAGAACGCCAGAGGGAUCCUGCGCGGACCAAGCUUUUGCGUCGGACUGUCAGCGUCCCCGUGGAGGGGCGACCCCAGCCAGAGCACGGUAAGGAC